AGCGAACGCUGGCGGCGGACUUAACACAUGCAAGUCGAACGGGGAUCGUUGCGUGAGUAAUCACGCUAUGGUCCUAGUGGCGCACGGGUGAGUAACACGUGGGUAACCUGCCCUGGGAGACCGGGAUACCCUCUCGAAAAGGGAGGCUAAUACCGGAUACGUUCCCUGGACCGAAAGAUCUGGGAGAAAGGUGCGCAAGCUGCCGCUCUUGGAGGGCUCGCGGCCUAUCAGCAGUUGGUGAGGUGAUGGCUCACCAAGG
rnacentral:rRNA from 1 species